rnacentral:rRNA from 1 species
GAUGAACGCUGGCGGCGUGCCUAAUACAUGCAAGUCGAGCGAACGGACGAGAAGCUUGCUUUUCUGAUGUUAGCGGCGGACGGGUGAGUAACACGUGGAUAACCUACCUAUAAGACUGGGAUAACUUCGGGAAACCGGAGCUAAUACCGUAUAAUAUUUUGAACCGCAUGGUUCAAAAGUGAAAGACGGUCUUGCUGUCACUUAUAGAUGGAUCCGCGCUGCAUUAGCUAGUUGGUAAGGUAACGGCUUACCAAGGCAACGAUGCAUAACCGCCCUGAGAGGGUGAUCGGCCACACUAGAACUGAGACACGGUCCAGACUCCUACGGGAGGAAGCAGUAGGGAAUCUUCCGGAAUGGGCGAAAGCCUGACGGAGCAAAGCCGCGUGAGUGAUGAAGGUCUUCGGAUCGUAAAACUCUGUUACUAGGGAAGAACAUAUGUGUAAGUAACUGUGCACAUCUUGACGGUACCUAAUCAGAAAGCCACGGCUAACUACGUG